rnacentral:rRNA from 1 species
GAUUACGCUGCGGCAGGCCUAAUACAUGCAAGUUGAACGGGAUUUCGGGUAGCAAUAUCUGGAUGAGAGUAGCGCACGGGUGCGUAACGCGUAUGCAACCUACCUUUAACUGGGGAAUAGCCUUCCGAAAGGAAGAUUAAUACCGCAUAAUGCAAUGAUGAAGCAUUUCAUUAUUGUCAAAACUCAGGUGGUAAUAGAUGGGCAUGCGUAAGAUUAGCUAGUUGGUAAGGUAAUGGCUUACCAAGGCUACGAUCUUUAGGGGGCCUGAGAGGGUGAUCCCCCACACUGGUACUGAGACACGGACCAGACUCCUACGGGAGGCAGCAGUAAGGAAUAUUGGUCAAUGGAGGCAACUCUGAACCAGCCAUGCCGCGUGCAGGAUGAAGGCUCUAGGGUCGGUAAACUGCUUUUAUACGAGAAGAAACCCCGCUACGUGUAGUGGGCUGACGGUAUCGUAAGAAUAAGGACCGGCUAACUCCGUGCCAGCAGCCGCGGUAAUACGGAGGGUCCAAGCGUUAUCCGGAUUCAUUGGGUUUAAAGGGUGCGUAGGCGGAUUUAUAAGUCAGUGGUGAAAGCCUGCAGCUUAACUGUAGAAUUGCCAUUGAUACUGUUAUUCUUGAGUCUAGUUGAAGUUGGCGGAAUACGACAUGUAGCGGUGAAAUGCAUAGAUAUGUCGUAGAACACCUAUUGCGAAGGCAGCUAACUAAACUAGUACUGACGCUGAGGCACGAAAGCGUGGGGAGCGAACAGGAUUAGAUCCCCUGGUAGUCCACGCCGUAAACGAUGAUUACUCGGUGUUGGCGAUAUAAUGUCAGUACCCAAGCGAAAGUGAUAAGUAAUCCACCUGGGGAGUACGAUCGCAAGGUUGAAACUCAAAGGAAUUGACGGGGGCCCGCACAAGCGGUGGAGCAUGUGGUUUAAUUCGAUGAUACGCGAGGAACCUUACCUGGGCUUAAAUGUAUUUUGACAGACUGGGAAACCAGUCCUUCCUUCGGACAGAAUGCAAGGUGCUGCAUGGCUGUCGUCAGCUCGUGCUGUGAGGUGUCGGGUUAAGUCCCAUAACGAGCGCAACCCCUAUCCUUAGUUGCCAGCGAGUAAUGUCGGGGACUCUAAGGAAACUGCCGGUGCAAACCGUGAGGAAGGUGGGGAUGACGUCAAAUCAUCACGGCCCUUACGUCCAGGGCUACACGCGUGCUACAAUGGCAGAUACAGUGGGUUGCUACAUAGCAAUAUGAUGCUAAUCUCUAAAGUCCGUCUCAGUUCGGAUCGAAGUCUGUAAUUUGACUUCGUGAAGCUGGAAUCGCUAGUAAUCGCGUAUCAGCAAUGAACGCGGUGAAUACGUUCCCGGGCCUUGUACACACCGCCCGUCAAGCCAUGGAAGUUGGGAGUACCUGAAGUCGAUAACCGCAAGGAGUCGCCUAGGGUAAAACCGAUGACUGGGGCUAA